rnacentral:sRNA from 1 species
GCCGGGCGCGGUGGCACACGCCUGUAAUCCCAGCGGUUUGGGAGGCUGAGGUAGGAGGAUCGCGAGUUCAAAGCCAGCCUUAGCAGCUGCGAGGCGCUAAGCAACUCAGUGAGACCCUGUCUCUA